rnacentral:lncRNA from 10 species
AAAAAUUGUAGAAGCUUCUCCAGAAUUAAAUGUUUAAAGAACAUUAUUUGAAGGAGACAGUAAAAGAAAAGGGAUGUAACAGGUGAAACAAGACUGACCAUGUUUUAAUAAGCUGGCUAAUAGAUUCGGGUGUACAUGUGCAGGUCUGUUACCUGGGAAUACUGCGUGAUACUGAACUUUGGGGUACAAGUGAUCCUGUCACCCAGGUACUGAGCACAGUACCCAACAGGUAGUUUUUCAACCCUCUCCCUCUAGUAGUCCCCAG